GAUGAACGCUGGCGGCGUGCCUAAUACAUGCAAGUCGAACGCUUCACUUCGGUGAAGAGUGGCGAACGGGUGAGUAAUACAUAAGUAACCUGGCAUCUACAGGGGGAUAACUGAUGGAAACGUCAGCUAAGACCGCAUAGGUGUAGAGAUCGCAUGAACUCUAUAUGAAAAGUGCUACGGGACUGGUAGAUGAUGGACUUAUUGCGCAUUAGCUUGUUGGUAGGGUAACGGCCUACCAAGGCGACGAUGCGUAGCCGACCUGAGAGGGUGACCGGCCACACUGGGACUGAGACACGGCCCAGACUCCUACGGGAGGCAGCAGUAGGGAAUUUUCGGCAAUGGGGGAAACCCUGACCGAGCAACGCCGCGUGAAGGAAGAAGUAAUUCGUUAUGUAAACUUCUGUCAUAGAGGAAGAACGGUGGAUAUAGGGAAUGAUAUCCAAGUGACGGUACUCUAUAAGAAAGCCACGGCUAACUACGUG
rnacentral:rRNA from 1 species